GAUGAACGCUGGCGGCGUGCCUAAUACAUGCCAGUCGAGCGAACAGACGAGGAGCUUGCUCCUCUGACGUUAGCGGCGGACGGGUGAGUAACACGUGGAUAACCUACCUAUAAGACUGGGAUAACUUCGGGAAACCGGAGCUAAUACCGGAUAAUAUAUUGAACCGCAUGGUUCAAUAGUGAAAGACGGUUUUGCUGUCACUUAUAGAUGGAUCCGCGCCGCAUUAGCUAGUUGGUAAGGUAACGGCUUACCAAGGCAACGAUGCGUAGCCGACCUGAGAGGGUGAUCGGCCACACUGGAACUGAGACACGGUCCAGACUCCUACGGGAGGCAGCCGUAGGGAAUCUUCCGCAAUGGGCGAAAGCCUGACGGAGCAACGCCGCGUGAGUGAUGAAGGUCUUCGGAUCGUAAAACUCUGUUAUUAGGGAAGAACAAAUGUGUAAGUAACUAUGCACGUCUUGACGGUACCUAAUCAGAAAGCCACGGCUAACUACGUG
rnacentral:rRNA from 1 species